AGGCCGGUGCUAUGUUCUUUCUGAAGAUUAGUCUCAAACUUCUUAGUGGAUACUUACUGUGAGCAAAAAACAUAGUCGAGAAGCUAAACCUGCAAGAUAGGAAAAUAAAGGCAAACAAGGAUUUAGGGGUCUGUACCAGAAGCAGCUAGCUUGCUAUAGCUUAAACAUAGCCCAAGGUAGAAACAACAUGAUGACUUGUCCUAAGCAGACAUGAUUACUUGUACUUACCAUAAAAUUGUUACAAGUUGUUUCUUUGGUGGUCCCCUAAAUUCAUCAUUUCUUUUGUGUUCUAAAAUCCAGACUACAACUCCCACGAUGAGGAAUAAGGCUGCUGUGAUUCCCCACAUUAAUGGAGUGAAUGGUCGCAAGAAAGCCCAAGCACUUGAGUACAACCUCUUCACCGGGACAACUACGACUAGCCCUGAUUCUAUAUAUGGCUGAGUGAAAUCCACAAUCCUUGUACGGUUUGUGAUAAUUGCAAUGUCACCGACUGCUGCAUCAAAGACCUGC
rnacentral:lncRNA from 1 species